rnacentral:rRNA from 1 species
UGGGGAAUAUUGGACAAUGGGCGAAAGCCUGAUCCAGCCAUGCCGCGUGUGUGAAGAAGGUCUUCGGAUUGUAAAGCACUUUGAGUUGGGAGGAAGGGCAGUAAGCGAAUACCUUGCUGUUUUGACGUUACCGACAGAAUAAGCACCGGCUAACUCUGUGCCAGCAGCCGCGGUAAUACAGAGGGUGCAAGCGUUAAUCGGAAUUACUGGGCGUAAAGCGCGCGUAGGUGGUUCGUUAAGUUGAAUGUGAAAGCCCCGGGCUCAACCUGGGAACUGCAUCCAAAACUGGCGAGCUAGAGUAGGGCAGAGGGUGGUGGAAUUUCCUGUGUAGCGGUGAAAUGCGUAGAUAUAGGAAGGAACACCAGUGGCGAAGGCGACCACCUGGGCUCAUACUGACACUGAGGUGCGAAAGCGUGGGGAGCAAACAGG